rnacentral:rRNA from 1 species
CGAUAAUUCACGAUUGACUUUACUUAUUUUUGUUAUUUCAAUUUGUAUACCGCCGUCAUCAGAAUAUUUUUUUAGAAAAUGAAUUUUCUAUACUUUUAAUUAAAUUAUAUGUCAGGUCAAGGUGCAGUUUAUGAAUAAGAGGAGAUGGAUUACAAUAAAUUUAUUUAUUAUGAAUAAGGAAUUGAAAAUAUCUUUUGAAGGUGGAU